UAUAGCUUAGUGGCGAAGCAUUUGCCUACCAGGUAUGAGGCCCUGGGUUCAAUUCCCAGUA
rnacentral:tRNA from 1 species